UAGGGAAUCUUCGGCAAUGGGGGGAACCCUGACCGAGCAACGCCGCGUGAGUGAAGAAGGUUUUCGGAUCGUAAAGCUCUGUUGUUAAGGAAGAACGAGUGUGAGAAUGGAAAGUUCAUACUGUGACGGUACUUAACCAGAAAGGGACGGCUAACUACGUGCCAGCAGCCGCGGUAAUACGUAGGUCCCGAGCGUUGUCCGGAUUUAUUGGGCGUAAAGCGAGCGCAGGCGGUUAGAUAAGUCUGAAGUUAAAGGCAGUGGCUCAACCAUUGUAGGCUUUGGAAACUGUUAACUUGAGUGCAGAAGGGGAGAGUGGAAUUCCAUGUGUAGCGGUGAAAUGCGUCGAUAUAUGGAGGAACACCGGUGGCGAAAGCGGCUCUCUGGUCUGUAACUGACGCUGAGGCUCGAAAGCGUGGGGAGCGAACAGG
rnacentral:rRNA from 1 species